rnacentral:rRNA from 1 species
AACGUAGGUGGCGAGCGUUAUCCGGAUUUACUGGGCGUAAAGCGUGUGCAGGCGGCCCGUCAAGUGGUGGAUGAAAGCGCCCGGCUCAACCGGGCGAGGGUAGGCCAGACUGACGGGCUGGAGGACGGGAGAGGGGCGUGGAAUUCCGGGUGUAGUGGUGAAAUGCGUAGAGAUCCGGAGGAACCCCAGCGGCGAAGGCGGCGCCCUGGCCCGACCCUGACGCUCAGACACGACAGCAUGGGGAG